rnacentral:rRNA from 1 species
UUAGUGGCGAACGGGUGAGUAACGCGUGAGGAACCUGCCUUUCAGUGGGGGACAACAGUUGGAAACGACUGCUAAUACCGCAUAAUGUAUUUAAGGGGCAUCCCUUGAAUACCAAAGCUUUAUGUGCUGAAAGAUGGCCUCGCGUCUGAUUAGAUAGUUGGUGGGGUAACGGCCUACCAAGUCAACGAUCAGUAGCCGGUCUGAGAGGAUGAACGGCCACAUUGGGACUGAGAUACGGCCCAGACUCCUACGGGAGGCAGCAGUGGGGAAUAUUGGGCAAUGGAGGAAACCCUGACCCAGCAACGCCGCGUGAAGGAAGAAGGCCCUCGGGUUGUAAACUUCUUUUACCAGGGACGAAGGACGUGACGGUACCUGGAGAAAAAGCGCCGGCUAACUACGUGCCAGCAGCCGCGGUAAUACGUAGGGCGCAAGCGUUAUCCGGAAUUAUUGGGCGUAAAGAGCUCGUAGGCGGUUUGUCGCGUCUGCUGUGAAAGCCCGGGGCUCAACCCCGGGUCUGCAGUGGGUACGGGCAGACUAGAGUGCAGUAGGGGAGACUGGAAUUCCUGGUGUAGCGGUGAAAUGCGCAGAUAUCAGGAGGAACACCGAUGGCGAAGGCAGGUCUCUGGGCUGUAACUGACGCUGAGGAGCGAAAGCAUGGGGAGCGAACAGGAUUAGAUACCCUGGUAGUCCAUGCCGUAAACGUUGGGCACUAGGUGUGGGGGACAUUCCACGUUUUCCGCGCCGUAGCUAACGCAUUAAGUGCCCCGCCUGGGGAGUACGGCCGCAAGGCUAAAACUCAAAGGAAUUGACGGGGGCCCGCACAAGCGGCGGAGCAUGCGGAUUAAUUCGAUGCAACGCGAAGAACCUUACCAAGGCUUGACAUGAACCGGAAAGGCCUGGAAACAGGUCCCCCACUUGUGGCCGGUUUACAGGUGGUGCAUGGUUGUCGUCAGCUCGUGUCGUGAGAUGUUGGGUUAAGUCCCGCAACGAGCGCAACCCUCGUUCUAUGUUGCCAGCGGGUUAUGCCGGGGACUCAUAGGAGACUGCCGGGGUCAACUCGGAGGAAGGUGGGGACGACGUCAAAUCAUCAUGCCCCUUAUGUCUUGGGCUUCACGCAUGCUACAAUGGCCGGUACAAAGGGUUGCGAUACUGUGAGGUGGAGCUAAUCCCAAAAAGCCGGUCUCAGUUCGGAUUGAGGUCUGCAACUCGACCUCAUGAAGUUGGAGUCGCUAGUAAUCGCAGAUCAGCAACGCUGCGGUGAAUACGUUCCCGGGCCUUGCACUCACCGCCCGUCAAG